rnacentral:rRNA from 1 species
CGCAUGGUAGGAGAGCGUUCCGUAAGCCUGCGAAGGUGCCUUGUAAAGGGUGCUGGAGGUAUCGGAAGUGCGAAUGCUGACAUGAGUAGCGAUAAAGGGGGUGAAAGGCCCCCUCGCCGUAAGCCCAAGGUUUCCUACGCAACGUUCAUCGGCGUAGGGUGAGUCGGCCCCUAAGGCGAGGCAGAAAUGCGUAGCUGAUGGGAAGCAGGUCAAUAUUCCUGCACCAUUGUUAGAUGCGAUGGGGGGACGGAUCGCGGAAGGUUGUCCGGGUGUUGGAAGUCCCGGUCGCUGCAUUGGAGAAGGCGCUUAGGCAAAUCCGGGCGCGUAAUUCAAGGGUGUGGCGCGAGCUCCUUAGGGAGCGAAGCAAUUGGAAGUGGUUCCAAGAAAAGCCUCUAAGCUUCAGUCUAACGAUGACCGUACCGCAAACCGACACAGGUGGGCGAGAUGAGUAUUCUAAGGCGCUUGAGAGAACUCGGGAGAAGGAACUCGGCAAAUUGGUACCGUAACUUCGGGAUAAGGUACGCCCUUGUAGCUUGACCAGCCUGCGCUGGAAGGGUGAAGGGGUUGCAAUAAACUGGUGGCUGCGACUGUUUAAUAAAAACACAGCACUCUGCAAACACGAAAGUGGACGUAUAGGGUGUGACGCCUGCCCGGUGCCGGAAGAUUAAAUGAUGGGGUGCAAGCUCUUGAUUGAAGUCCCGGUAAACGGCGGCCGUAACUAUAACGGUCCUAAGGUAGCGAAAUUCCUUGUCGGGUAAGUUCCGACCUGCACGAAUGGCGUAACGAUGGCCACACUGUCUCCUCCCGAGACUCAGCGAAGUUGAAGUGUUUGUGAUGAUGCAAUCUACCCGCGGCUAGACGGAAAGACCCCAUGAACCUUUACUGUAGCUUUGCAUUGGACUUUGAACCGAUCUGUGUAGGAUAGGUGGGAGGCUAUGAAACCGGAACGCUAGUUUCGGUGGAGCCGUCCUUGAAAUACCACCCUGGUUUGUUUGAGGUUCUAACCUUGGCCCGUGAUCCGGGUCGGGGACAGUGCAUGGUAGGCAGUUUGACUGGGGCGGUCUCCUCCCAAAGCGUAACGGAGGAGUACGAAGGUACGCUAGGUACGGUCGGAAAUCGUGCUGAUAGUGCAAUGGCAUAAGCGUGCUUAACUGCGAGACCGACAAGUCGAGCAGGUGCGAAAGCAGGUCAUAGUGAUCCGGUGGUUCUGUAUGGAAGGGCCAUCGCUCAACGGAUAAAAGGUACUCUGGGGAUAACAGGCUGAUACCGCCCAAGAGUUCAUAUCGACGGCGGUGUUUGGCACCUCGAUGUCGGCUCAUCUCAUCCUGGGGCUGUAGCCGGUCCCAAGGGUAUGGCUGUUCGCCAUUUAAAGAGGUACGUGAGCUGGGUUUAAAACGUCGUGAGACAGUUUGGUCCCUAUCUGCCGUGGGCGUUGGAUAUUUGAAGGGGGCUGCUCCUAGUACGAGAGGACCGGAGUGGACGAACCUCUGGUGUACCGGUUGUCACGCCAGUGGCAUCGCCGGGUAGCUAUGUUCGGAAGAGAUAACCGCUGAAAGCAUCUAAGCGGGAAACUCGCCUUAAGAUGAGAUAUCCCUGGGGACUAGAUCCCCUUGAAGGGUCGUUCGAGACCAGGACGUUGAUAGGUCGGGUGUGUAAGCGCAGUAAUGCGUUCAGCUAACCGAUACUAAUUGCCCGUAAGGCUUGAUCCUAUAACA